GACGAACGCUGGCGGCGUGCCUAAUACAUGCAAGUCGAACGAGAGCGACCGGUGCUUGCACUGGUCAAUCUAGUGGCGAACGGGUGAGUGACACGUGGGUAACCUGCCCAUCAGAGGGGGAUAACAUCCGGAAACGGAUGCUAAAACCGCAUAGGUCUUCGAACCGCAUGGUUUGAAGAGGAAAAGAGGCGCAAGCUUCUGCUGAUGGAUGGACCCGCGGUGCAUUAGCUAGUUGGUGAGGUAACGGCUCACCAAGGCCGUGAUGCAUAGCCGACCUGAGAGGGUGAUCGGCCACAUUGGGACUGAGACACGGCCCAAACUCCUACGGGAGGCAGCAGUAGGGAAUCUUCCGCAAUGGACGCAAGUCUGACGGAGCAACGCCGCGUGAGUGAAGAAGGUUUUCGGAUCGUAAAACUCUGUUGUUAGAGAAGAACAAGUGCUAGAGUAACUGUUAGCGCCUUGACGGUAUCUAACCAGAAAGCCACGGCUAACUACGUG
rnacentral:rRNA from 1 species